CCUACGGGGGGCAGCAGUGAGGAAUAUUUGUCAAUGGACGAGAGUCUGAACCAGCCAAGUAGCGUGAAGGAUGACUGCCCUAUGGGUUGUAAACUUCUUUUAUAUGGGAAUAAAAUGUUCCACGUGUGGGAUUUUGUAUGUACCAUAUGAAUAAGGAUCGGCUAACUCCGUGCCAGCAGCCGCGGUAAUACGGAGGAUCCGAGCGUUAUCCGGAUUUAUUGGGUUUAAAGGGAGCGUAGGUUGAUUGUUAAGUCAGUUGUGAAAGUUUGCGGCUCAACCGUAAAAUUGCAGUUGAAACUGGCAGUCUUGAGUACAGUAGAGGUGGGCGGAAUUCGUGGUGUAGCGGUGAAAUGCUUAGAUAUCACGAAGAACUCCGAUUGCGAAGGCAGUUCACUGGACUGCAACUGACACUGAGGCUCGAAAGUGUGGGUAUCAAACAGGAUUAGAUACCCUUGUAGUC
rnacentral:rRNA from 1 species